ACAUGGUGAUGGGUUGACAGUGGGCCUUGUCUGUGGGCCUCCCAGAGUGCACCUGUGCCAGAGAAGCAUGCAGCCCUGAACCAUUGCCCAGCCUCCUCACUGGUGGGCUAUGAGCACUGAAGGGGACUGUAUGUUG